GACGAACGCUGGCGGCGUGCUUAACACAUGCAAGUCGAACGGAAAGGCCCUGCUUUUGUGGGGUGCUCGAGUGGCGAACGGGUGAGUAACACGUGAGUAACCUGCCCUUGACUUUGGGAUAACUUCAGGAAACUGGGGCUAAUACCGGAUAGGAGCUCCUGCUGCAUGGUGGGGGUUGGAAAGUUUCGGCGGCUGGGGAUGGACUCGCGGCUUAUCAGCUUGUUGGUGGGGUAGUGGCUUACCAAGGCUUUGACGGGUAGCCGGCCUGAGAGGGUGACCGGCCACAUUGGGACUGAGAUACGGCCCAGACUCCUACGGGAGGCAGCAGUGGGGAAUAUUGCACAAUGGGCGGAAGCCUGAUGCAGCAACGCCGCGUGCGGGAUGACGGCCUUCGGGUUGUAAACCGCUUUCGCCUGUGACGAAGCGUGAGUGACGGUAAUGGGUAAAGAAGCACCGGCUAACUACGUGCCAGCAGCCGCGGUGAUACGUAGGGUGCGAGCGUUGUCCGGAUUUAUUGGGCGUAAAGGGCUCGUAGGUGGUUGAUCGCGUCGGAAGUGUAAUCUUGGGGCUUAACCCUGAGCGUGCUUUCGAUACGGGUUGACUUGAGGAAGGUAGGGGAGAAUGGAAUUCCUGGUGGAGCGGUGGAAUGCGCAGAUAUCAGGAGGAACACCAGUGGCGAAGGCGGUUCUCUGGGCCUUUCCUGACGCUGAGGAGCGAAAGCGUGGGGAGCGAACAGGCUUAGAUACCCUGGUAGUCCACGCUGUAAACGGUGGGUACUAGGUGUGGGGUCCAUUCCACGGGUUCCGUGCCGUAGCUAACGCUUUAAGUACCCCGCCUGGGGAGUACGGCCGCAAGGCUAAAACUCAAAGGAAUUGACGGGGCCCCGCACAAGCGGCGGAGCAUGCGGAUUAAUUCGAUGCAACGCGUAGAACCUUACCUGGGUUUGACAUGGAUCGGGAGUGCUCAGAGAUGGGUGUGCCUCUUUUGGGGUCGGUUCACAGGUGGUGCAUGGCUGUCGUCAGCUCGUGUCGUGAGAUGUUGGGUUAAGUCCCGCAACGAGCGCAACCCUUGUUCACUGUUGCCAGCACGUUAUGGUGGGGACUCAGUGGAGACCGCCGGGGUCAACUCGGAGGAAGGUGGGGAUGACGUCAAGUCAUCAUGCCCCUUAUGUCCAGGGCUUCACGCAUGCUACAAUGGCUGGUACAGAGAGUGGCGAGCCUGUGAGGGUGAGCGAAUCUCGGAAAGCCGGUCUCGGUUCGGAUUGGGGUCUGCAACUCGACCUCAUGAAGUCGGAGUCGCUAGUAAUCGCAGAUCAGCAACGCUGCGGUGAAUACGUUCCCGGGGCU
rnacentral:rRNA from 1 species